AUGAACGCUGGCGGCGUGCCUAAUACAUGCAAGUCGAGCGAACAGACGAGGAGCUUGCUCCUCUGACGUUAGCGGCGGACGGGUGAGUAACACGUGGAUAACCUACCUAUAAGACUGGGAUAACUUCGGGAAACCGGAGCUAAUACCGGAUAAUAUAUUGAACCGCAUGGUUCAAUAGUGAAAGACGGUUUUGCUGUCACCUAUAGAUGGAUCCGCGCCGCAUUAGCUAGUUGGUAAGGUAACGGCUUACCAAGGCAAUGAUGCGUAGCCGACCUGAGAGGGUGAUCGGCCACACUGGAACUGAGACACGGUCCAGACUCCUACGGGAGGCAGCAGUAGGGAAUCUUCCGCAAUGGGCGAAAGCCUGACGGAGCAACGCCGCGUGAGUGAUGAAGGUCUUCGGAUCGUAAAACUCUGUUAUUAGGGAAGAACAAAUGUGUAAGUAACUAUGCACGUCUUGACGGUACCUAAUCAGAAAGCCACGGCUAACUACGUG
rnacentral:rRNA from 1 species